UUGCGUCACAUUAGUUAGUUGGUGGGGUAAAGGCCUACCAAGACUAUGAUGUGUAGCCGGGCUGAGAGGUUGAACGGCCACAUUGGGACUGAGACACGGCCCAAACUCCUACGGGAGGCAGCAGUAGGGAAUUUUCGGCAAUGGAGGAAACUCUGACCGAGCAACGCCGCGUGAACGAUGAAGUAUUUCGGUACGUAAAGUUCUUUUAUUAGGGAAGAAUAAAUGAUGGAAAAAUCAUUCUGACGGUACCUAAUGAAUAAGCCCCGGCUAACUAUGUGCCAGCAGCCGCGGUAAUACAUAGGGGGCAAGCGUUAUCCGGAAUUAUUGGGCGUAAAGGGUGCGUAGGCGGUUAAAUAAGUUUAUGGUCUAAGUGCAAUGCUCAACAUUGUGAUGCUAUAAAAACUGUUUAGCUAGAGUAAGAUAGAGGCAAGUGGAAUUCCAUGUGUAGUGGUAAAAUGCGUAAAUAUAUGGAGGAACACCAGUAGCGAAGGCGGCUUGCUGGGUCUUUACUGACGCUGAGGCACGAAAGCGUGGGGAGCAAACAGGAUUAGAUACCCUGGUAGUCCACGCCGUAAACGAUGAGUACUAAACGUUGGGUAAAACCAGUGUUGAAGUUAACACAUUAAGUACUCCGCCUGAGUAGUACGUACGCAAGUAUGAAACUUAAAGGAAUUGACGGGACUCCGCACAAGCGGUGGAUCAUGUUGUUUAAUUCGAAGGUACCCGAAAAACCUCACCAGGUCUUGACAUGCUUCUGCAAAGCUGUAGAAACACAGUGGAGGUUAUCAGUUGCACAGGUGGUGCAUGGUUGUCGUCAGCUCGUGUCGUGAGAUGUUGGGUUAAGUCCCGCAACGAGCGCAACCCUUAUUGUUAGUUACCAGCACGUAAUGGUGGGGACUUUAGCAAGACUGCCAGUGAUAAAUUGGAGGAAGGUGGGGACGACGUCAAAUCAUCAUGCCCCUUAUGACCUGGGCUACAAACGUGAUACAAUGGCUGUUACAAAGGGUAGCUGAAGCGCAAGUUUUUGGCGAAUCUCAAAAAAACAGUCUCAGUUCGGAUUGAAGUCUGCAACUCGACUUCAUGAAGUUGGAAUCGCUAGUAAUCGCGAAUCAGCAUGUCGCGGUGAAUACGUUCUCGGGGCUUGUACACACCGCCCGUCAAACCACGAAAGUUGGCAAUACCCAAAG
rnacentral:rRNA from 1 species